AGUUUGAUCAUGGCUCAGAUUGAACGCUGGCGGCAUGCCUUACACAUGCAAGUCGAACGGCAGCACGGGAGCUUGCUCCUGGUGGCGAGUGGCGAACGGGUGAGUAAUACAUCGGAACGUACCCGUGAAGUGGGGAUAACGUAGCGAAAGUUACGCUAAUACCGCAUAUUCUGUGAGCAGGAAAGAGGGGGAUCGCAAGACCUCUUGCUUUAGGAGCGGCCGAUGUCGGAUUAGCUAGUUGGUGAGGUAAAGGCUCACCAAGGCGACGAUCCGUAGCGGGUCUGAGAGGAUGAUCCGCCACACUGGGACUGAGACACGGCCCAGACUCCUACGGGAGGCAGCAGUGGGGAAUUUUGGACAAUGGGCGCAAGCCUGAUCCAGCCAUGCCGCGUGAGUGAAGAAGGCCUUCGGGUUGUAAAGCUCUUUCGGUGGGGAAGAAAUUGCUUCGGUUAAUACCUGGAGUAGAUGACGGUACCCGCAUAAGAAGCACCGGCUAACUACGUG
rnacentral:rRNA from 1 species